rnacentral:lncRNA from 1 species
GCUGGUUACACCAGUCGCAGUAACUAUAAGCAAAAUCAGCCUGUUUAGAUUUCAACCAUAAGAAUGACAGACGCUGAAUUUUUUCAAUAGACAUUAAAGGAUUAGAAGCCGAAUUUUGGAAUACACGGCCGUUGCGAUCCUUCCAUAUCAUCCAAACAGUUGCGAACCAAAUAAUGAAAAGGUAAUGGUAUGUAGAGUAAGGCAUAGCCGCCAUCUUGGUGAACUGAAUAAAGUGGUGUCGAAGAUCACCUGAUAACACUGAUGAAAUACCUAACCAUUUCCACACUUUAAACCACAAGUUACUUGCAAGGGUGCAAUGCAAAAAUA